rnacentral:rRNA from 1 species
ACUGGAGUUUGAUCCUGGCUCAGGAUGAACGCUAGCGGCAGGCUUAACACAUGCAAGUCGAGGGGUAUAGUUCUUCGGAACUAGAGACCGGCGCACGGGUGCGUAACGCGUAUGCAAUCUACCUUUUGCAGAGGGAUAGCCCAGAGAAAUUUGGAUUAAUACCUCAUAGUAUAGCAGUUUCGCAUGAAACCACUAUUAAAGUCACAACGGCAAAAGAUGAGCAUGCGUCCCAUUAGCUAGUUGGUAAGGUAACGGCUUACCAAGGCUACGAUGGGUAGGGGUCCUGAGAGGGAGAUCCCCCGACACUGGUACUGAGACACGGACCAGACUCCUACGGGGAGGCAGCAGUGAGGAAUAUUGGACAAUGGGGCGCAAGCCUGAUCCCAGCCCAUGCCGCGUGCAGGAUGACGGUCCUAUGGA